rnacentral:rRNA from 1 species
GAGUUUGAUCGUGGCUCAGGACGAACGCUGGCGGCGUGCUUAACACAUGCAAGUCGAACGAGAAUCUACUGAAAGAGUUUUCGGACAAUGGAAGUAGAGGAAAGUGGCGGACGGGUGAGUAACGCGUGAGGAACCUGCCUUGAAGAGGGGACAACAGUUGGAAACGACUGCUAAUACCGCAUGAUGCAUAAGGGUCGCAUGAUUCUUAUGCCAAAGAUUUAUCGCUUCAAGAUGGCCUCGCGUCUGAUUAGCUAGUUGGCGGGUAACGGCCCACCAAGGCGACGAUCAGUAGCCGGACUGAGAGGUUGAACGGCCACAUUGGGACUGAGAUACGGCCCAGACUCCUACGGGAGGCAGCAGUGGGGAAUAUUGGGCAAUGGGCGCAAGCCUGACCCAGCAACGCCGCGUGAAGGAAGAAGGCUUUCGGUAUGUAAACUUCUAUCAGCAGGGAAGAAA